rnacentral:rRNA from 1 species
GCNNGUUACGAAUUCGCCCUUGAGUUGAUCAUGGCUCAGGUAUGAACGCUAGCGGCAGGCUUAACACAUGCAAGUCGAGGGGCAGCAUGUCCAGCAAUGGAUGAUGGCGACCGGCGGAAGGGUGCGUAACGCGUGAGCAACAUGCCCUAUACAGGGAGAUACACCAGGGAAACUUGGUCUAAUNUCCCAUAGCAUUCAUUGAAGGCAUCUUUAAUGAAUUAAAGCUUCGGUGGUAUAGGAUUGGCUCGCGUGACAUUAGCCAGAUGGUGAGGUAACGGCUCACCAUAGCAAUGAUGUCUAGGGGUUUUGAGAGGAAGGCCCCCCACACUGGGACUGAGACACGGCCCAGACUCCUACGGGAGGCAGCAGUGAGGAAUAUUGGACAAUGGAUGGAAAUCUGAUCCAGCCAUGCCGCGUGCAGGAAGACGGCCUUAUGGGUUGUAAACUGCUUUUAUACGGGAGCAAUAAGGGUUACGAGUAAUCCGAUGAGAGUACUGUAUGAAUAAGGAUCGGCUAACUCCGUGCCAGCAGCCGCGGUAAUACGGAGGAUCCGAGCGUUAUCCGGAAUUAUUGGGUUUAAAGGGUGCGUAGGCGGCCAUUUAAGUCAGCGGUGAAAUUUUGCAGCUUAACUGUAACAGUGCCGUUGAUACUGUUUGGCUAGGAUUUGGUUGUAGUGUGCGGAAUGUGUGGUGUAGCGGUGAAAUGCUUAGAUAUCACACAGAACACCGAUUGCGAAGGCAGCACACUAAGUCAUUAUUGACGCUGAGGCACGAAAGUGUGGGGAUCAAACAGGAUUAGAUACCCUGGUAGUCCACACUGUAAACGAUGAUAACUCGCUGUCGGCGAUACA